UAGGGAAUCUUCCGCAAUGGACGCAAGUCUGACGGAGCAACGCCGCGUGUGUGAAGAAGGAUUUCGGUUCGUAAAACUCUGUUGUUAGAGAAGAACAGCGCAUAGAGUAACUGUUAUGCGUGUGACGGUAUCUAACCAGAAAGCCACGGCUAACUACGUGCCAGCAGCCGCGGUAAUACGUAGGUGGCAAGCGUUGUCCGGAUUUAUUGGGCGUAAAGCGAGCGCAGGCGGUCAAUUAAGUCUGAUGUGAAAGCCCCCGGCUCAACCGGGGAGGGUCAUUGGAAACUGGUUGACUUGAGUGCAGAAGAGGAGAGUGGAAUUCCAUGUGUAGCGGUGAAAUGCGUAGAUAUAUGGAGGAACACCAGUGGCGAAGGCGACUCUCUGGUCUGUAACUGACGCUGAGGCUCGAAAGCGUGGGUAGCAAACAGG
rnacentral:rRNA from 1 species